AGAGUUUGAUCAUGGCUCAGAUUGAACGCUGGCGGCAUGCUUUACACAUGCAAGUCGAGCGGCAGCGCGGGGGCAACCCUGGCGGCGAGCGGCGAACGGGUGAGUAAUGCAUCGGAACGUACCCUGGAGUGGGGGAUAACGCCGCGAAAGCGGCGCUAAUACCGCAUAUGCUCUGAGGAGGAAAGCGGGGGCUCGCAAGACCUCGCGCUCUGGGAGCGGCCGAUGUCCGAUUAGCUAGUUGGUGGGGUAAAGGCUUACCAAGGCGACGAUCGGUAGCUGGUCUGAGAGGAUGAUCAGCCACACUGGGACUGAGACACGGCCCAGACUCCUACGGGAGGCAGCAGUGGGGAAUUUUGGACAAUGGGCGCAAGCCUGAUCCAGCCAUGCCGCGUGCAGGAUGAAGGCCUUCGGGUUGUAAACUGCUUUUGUACGGAACGAAAAAGCUCUCUCUAAUACAGGGGGUGAAUGACGGUACCGUAAGAAUAAGCACCGGCUAACUACGUGCCAGCAGCCGCGGUAAUACGUAGGGUGCAAGCGUUAAUCGGAAUUACUGGGCGUAAAGCGUGCGCAGGCGGUUAUGUAAGACAGAGGUGAAAUCCCCAGGCUCAACCUGGGAACUGCCUUUGUGACUGCAUAGCUGGAGUGCGGCAGAGGGGGAUGGAAUUCCGCGUGUAGCAGUGAAAUGCGUAGAUAUGCGGAGGAACACCGAUGGCGAAGGCAAUCCCCUGGGCCUGCACUGACGCUCAUGCACGAAAGCGUGGGGAGCAAACAGGAUUAGAUACCCCGGUAGU
rnacentral:rRNA from 1 species